AAGAGUUUAUUUUAAGAUAAAAAUAUUAGAUUGUAAAUCUAAAGAUUAGAUUCUUGA
rnacentral:tRNA from 1 species